rnacentral:rRNA from 1 species
UAGGGGAUCUUCCACGAUGGACGCAAGUCUGAUGGAGCAACGCCGCGUGUAUGAAGAAGGUCUUCGGAUCGUAAAAUACUGUUGUCAGAGAAGAACACGUGAUAAAGUAACUGUUAUCGCGCUGACGGUAUCUGACCAGCAAGUCACGGCUAACUACGUG